UAAAAACAGCUCUGAUAAAGCAUGGUCACUACUAUGUAUCAUCAAGCAGGUCCACAUAUGACCUCAGACAAACUUUUUGGGACAAUGGCAAGAAGCAGCCACAUUCUUCAUCAAAAUUUCACAAGAAAAUCUCUAGGUAACAAACUAAAAUUCUUCUGUGAAACCCCUGGAAGCAGCGCCUCUACAGAUCAAAUCCAGAAAAAUCUAGGAUCUACAAAUUAGACUUAAGGUGUGACAGCUUCCCUUUCCCCCUCCCCCACACAAAACCUUUAUGUGUAUCUUCAAAAGCACUUCUGCUUUCUUCUUUCUUUAUGGCCUGCAUUCUACUCUGUUGUUUCCACAUUGUCCUUUGAACUUUGAAUACUGAGAAACCUCACUUUAUCCUCAUUGAGGGAUAUAAUUUUGUGUCACCAUGACAUCUCUUCUAUCCUUUAUAUCUUAUCAUAAUGAAUAGAAUUUAGGACUUGUGGAUGGGAAAACAAUUUGCCAAUUGAAAUAUUGUGAUGUCUUAUGCAAUUCAUGUAUCUAAUAAAAAGUAUUUGAUUAGUCACAGUAGAACACAGAGCUUCAUUAGGGACAAAGUCUUAUAGACCACAAUAGAUAGUCUCAAACCCAAGAAUCUCAGAAAUGUUUGGGCAGGAAUAAACCUGUUUUAUAGUUAAUGUUCUAUUCUGUGAAGAAAUUCCUUGACCAACACAACUCAUAUAAAGGGAAGUUAUUGGGUGUUUGCAAUUGUCCUUGGUUGCCCCCCAGAGUUUGAAAGUAAGUAAUACUCUAUUACUUUUAUUUUUAUUUUUUUUUAAUUUAGAAGCACUCUUAUUUACAUAUUAAUCCCCCAUUCCCUGGCCCUCCCAUCUUCCCUUGCUCCCCACUUACCCCCCAACCCAUACCUUACCCAUUCCCCAGGGAUAGUGAGACCCUCCAUGGGAACCAUCAAAGUCUAUCACAUCAUUUGGGGGGAGGGCCUAGGCCCUCCUUCCUGUAUCUGGGCUGCAGUUGUAUUCCUCCAUAGGGAACUGGCUCCCAAAGUCCAUUUGUGCUCUAGGGAUAAACACUGGCUCCACUGUUAGAUACCCAUAGACUGCCCUGGCCUCCUAGCUUGUACCCAUAUUCAGAGGGCUUGGUCAACUUUACGACUCGGGUCUCCUUGCUCUCACUACAUCAGGUCAACUAUUUCUGCAGGUUUCUCCAGCACAGUGUUGGCUCCUUAUGGGGCCUCUGUGCAUGUGUGUACUCUGGCUGUGUGAGAGUAGCAUGCUUCAAUGAUGGGAACACUCUGUUUCUAAAGACACUACACAUUUUGUUCAAAGGAAUUUGAAGAAUCUGUCAGGAUCUGACUUGGAAGACUCCUCCAUGAGAACUAGAUCACCCACUACUACAAGGUUCUAUAUAAGCUGCCCCAUGAGAAAAAUAUUCAACAUAUGUUCCUGACUCUAAAGCCCAUGAAUCACAGCAAUGUCUAACUCAGAAUGACAUCCUCAGUGAUUCAGUAGUAGCCCUUUUGUAAUUGGUGCAAGCAAAAGUGGCCUCUUUUAUUUUAAAAUUUGCUCAGUGGGAAGGUAUUCAUGCCUGGUACUGUUAAGUAAGGCAAGUAUUUGUGCUAGGAGUUUUCAUAGACCUUAGAAGAGAAUUCACAGUGGCCAUUUUCCUCAUCCAAUGUAAGUACUAUGUGUAUUCUAAAAAAUUAUGCCUGUAACCUCAAAUAACUGAAGCUCUCACUCUUCAUCAAAGAAUCUUCUCUUUUAAAUAGGAAGUAUUACAAAGAUAUAUAACUAUUCAAAAUGCAGAGCAUAAGUGACCAUGACAUGGCCAGCCUCAAUCUACAACACAACAUCUGAGUUUCUAAUAGGUUUUCUAGUCUCCAGUGGUCAGCCUAAAGAAAUUCACAUAAGAACAACACUAAGAAAACUCAUUAGUGUGUCGUGUGAGUGUGUGUUUGUGUGUGUGUGUGUGUGUGUGUGUGUGUGUGUGUGUGUGUGUGCAAAUAGUAAUUAAAGAAGAAAUCACUAAUUGAAGGAAGUUGGGGCAUAGAGGAGGAGUUGAAACAGAAAGGCAUGGGGUGAAAAUGAUGUACAUGUACUACUGAUGUAUCAAUUUCUGAAAAAAUUAAAUAUGUCUUUUUAUCACUA